UCCAGCUGUUUUGUGUACUUUGGUCCUGAAAGCCCCAUUAAUACUUUGUAUGUUCUGCUCUUUUGAUGUAUAGAACAUUCUGCUUCCUAUUACUGUUAUCUGUGAGAGUGUAAAUGACUUGAGAAGAGAGGCUAUUCCAGUCAUGUUUUUUUUUUCCUAAUAGUAACUAAUCUUUAAUGGGUGCUUACCAUAUGCCAGACACCAUGCCAAGUAUUUUAUGUGGAUUGUCUAAUUUCAUCUUCACAUAACUUUGUUAUUAUUAUCCUCAUUUUGCAGGUGAGAACUGAAGCCUAAAAAGAUUAAGACACUUGCCCAAGAUGACAUAAUGAAUAAGUGGUGGAGUUCAAGUCAAAGCAAGGCUGUCUGAGUGCACAGCCUGGGUCCUUGGCAUCCAUACUUUGCUACCUCGCAUCUCCUGCGGCAUCUCACAUGUCUGGGCUUAUUUUUAACUCCUCGAGGGAGCUCUGCCAAGGCCUCUGGCUCAGUGCUGCUGAGGGCCGGUCAACAGAGAAGGUCGGCAGCCAGCAGGAAGGAGCACGAAGAAUCCACAGACUGAGCCCUGGGAGAAUGGGUUAUGGCUUGAAGCCUGGAGGCUCCGGUCUGGCCACUGAAGGCAGAGGAUCCUCCCUCUCCUCCCUCGAGAAGACUCCAGGAAAUUAAUUCUGUUCCGUCUGCAUCAUGAACUAGUCAGCAGAGACUUUGACCUGGACCUAAACUCUAGGCUAACUCCCCCUUGGCCUGACCUCUCAGGGCACAUGAAGUAAGUUGGCCCAGUGGUUAAGGUAUGGACCCCCGAGUCAGACCACCUGGGUUCUCUAAUCCAGGCCUGACCACCUGGAUUAGUCUGCAGAGCGCCUGAAAGGAUGACACAGCCACCCACCUGGGCAGGAACACAUCCAUUCUGGCUCUCCUGAGGCUGGAGGUCCACGUGUGGAUGGUGCUGGCUGUGAAGUGUGGCUCGAUGUGGCUCAGCAGGGUGUCCUUGUCACGUGGCAGAACGAGGAGCAGACUCACGGUACUUCCCAGUGCUCUGAAAUGCCUCACUGAAGCGGAUGGUUCUUUUACCUGCGAUCUGCCCGGAGGCCCAGUCAUGGGCCCGGAUGCUGGUGCUGUUGGACUCCCGGAGGUUGGCUGGCUCCAGGCUGCUGUUGGCCCACUGGGAGAUCUGCUCCACAAAGCAGGGGCCUUAGAUCCAUUCCCACAACUGCAUGUCAUAAGCCUGCGGGACAUUCAGAUGUGGCCUCUUUUUAGAACUACGCUUUCAAUUUGAGGAACACAGAGGAAAGCUGAGCCUUUGAACUCAUUUGUGAGUCCAGUGUGGAGAGUACCUUUCUUUUGAAUCAGCGUGUCGAACUGAGCUUCCUGAAUGUGACACUGAAUCUGGUGGAUCCUGACUUUGUAAGGUCAAUGAAUAUAAAAAUCUCAAAGCGU